rnacentral:rRNA from 1 species
GACGAACGCUGGCGGCGUGCUUAACACAUGCAAGUCGAGCGGUAAGGCCCUUUCGGGGGUACACGAGCGGCGAACGGGUGAGUAACACGUGGGUGACCUGCCCUCAGCUCUGGGAUAAGCCUGGGAAACCGGGUCUAAUACUGGAUAUGACUCCAUGACGCAUGUUGUGGGGUGGAAAGCCUUGUGCGGCUGAGGAUGGGCCCGCGGCCUAUCAGCUUGUUGGUGGGGUGAUGGCCUACCAAGGCGACGACGGGUAGCCGGCCUGAGAGGGCGACCGGCCACACUGGGACUGAGACACGGCCCAGACUCCUACGGGAGGCAGCAGUGGGGAAUCUUGCGCAAUGGGCGAAGAC